rnacentral:piRNA from 1 species
UCUUGUCAGUGAUGAACAGGGCCACACCUU